rnacentral:rRNA from 1 species
ACUACGGGUGGCAGCAGUGGGGAAUAUUGCACAAUGGGGGAAACCCUGAUGCAGCGACGCCGCGUGAGUGAAGAAGUAUUUCGGUAUGUAAAGCUCUAUCAGCAGGGAAGAAAAUGACGGUACCUGAUUAAGAAGCCCCGGCUAACUACGUGCCAGCAGCCGCGGUAAUACGUAGGGUGCAAGCGUUAUCCGGAUUUACUGGGUGUAAAGGGAGCGUAGACGGCAGUACAAGUCUGGAGUGAAAUGCCGGGGCUUAACCCCGGAACUGCUUUGGAAACUGUGCAGCUAGAGUGCAGGAGAGGUAAGUGGAAUUCCUAGUGUAGCGGGGAAAUGCGUAGAUAGUAGGAGGAACACCAGUGGCGAAGGCGGCUUACUGGACUGUAACUGACGUUGAGGCUCGAAAGCGUGGGUAUCGAACAGGAUUAGAUACCCGAGUAGUC